rnacentral:rRNA from 1 species
UACGAAGGGGGCUAGCGUUGUUCGGAAUUACUGGGCGUAAAGCGUGCGCAGGCGGCUUCUCAAGUCAGUGGUGAAAGCCCGGAGCUCAACUCCGGAAUUGCCAUUGAAACUGUGGAGCUUGAGGACGAGAGAGGUGAGUGGAAUUCCCAGUGUAGAGGUGAAAUUCGUAGAUAUUGGGAAGAACACCGGUGGCGAAGGCGGCUCACUGGCUCGUUUCUGACGCUCAGGCACGAUAGCGUGGGGAGCAAACAGG